UGAGCAAUGUCUUAGCACCUGCUGAAUUUAAG
rnacentral:rRNA from 1 species